AAACCCGGGACCCUUCAAUCCGAGGGCUGAUGCUCUAUCCAUUGAGCCAAACCGGCUAGGGCGAAUAUAUUUUUAAAUGUUGGAAAGUUAUAGCUAUGAAAAGAUUAUUUUCUAAUGCUUAGCAAUCACUGAUAAGGUUUUACCAGGAGGAAGGCACUGUUCUAAGAGUCUCACAAAUUGACACGCGUGUCAUGCCAUGUGCUCAUGGACAGAAAGACCAGGACCAUCAUGCAGUAAAAGUCUAUCUAACAGGGUCUGUUGGGGUGUGCUAACACACCAAGGGAGAGGUAGCUGAGCAGACUCAGGCCCCUGAACACACAGUGUCCCCUGAAAGUUGUGCGCGGGCCAGGCAUAGUUUGAUUGGAUGCACGACCCAGCCCCUCCUGUCCAGUGCGAGCUCACAGGGGGUUUCUUCCUGUCCAGUCCGGUUCUCAUCAGAGUGACUUGGGAACUGGGAAUUCUCUGAUCUGACUGAGGUCACCCAGAAACCCUCCCAGAAUCACACGUGGGCCUUUAAGCUGCAAUAAAAGAGCCAUUUCAGAUUCUCAGACACUUUCCACCGCACUCCUCUUGAGGCUGCUGCAAAGCCACGGUGACCAGGAGCUGCACCUUGGGUAAGGAGGACCCCAGCCCCAAGUCCAACAUUCACAGCCUAACAUAUCUCACCCCCAUACUCUCCAGAGGUCCUCUUCCAUCCCAGCCCCCUCCCUCCCGUCCCCAUGGACCUUGCAGCCCCUCAGUCCCAGCAGCACCUUCUACAACAGGACACUUGGUCCCUUCCCUGGACUCCAUCUUGGCUCUUUUGGAGCAUCCCUGCAUCCUUCACCUUCCAGGGUCCCAGAGAGCCCAUGUCCAGCUCUGGGACACUGACCCCAACCCAGUCAAACAAAUCCCAGAAGAAUCAUCCCCAAACUCACACCGUGCUUCAGCCAGAACCCAACUAGCCUCAGAGCGUACCCCGGACUACAAAUUGGCCUUGUCACCCAGCCGAUUACUUUCCCAUAGGGCUGGUUUGCAUCCUUGUGUACCUGUGCUCAGUCUCAGAGGGGUUUCAGGUGAGGGUGAGGAUGAGGAUGAGGAGGAGGCAACACAUGGGGUGGUGGGAUGGGCUCCUACAUUACCCCAGAUUGCGACCAGGUUUAUUGCUUCUGGGACUCACACCUGCCCCACCUCCCAGGCUCCCCUGUGAACAGGUGUGGAACCAGAUCUAUGAUGCCAGGGAGCACUGCUGUGUGGAAGAGACCUUGUGCCCUUUGUCCAGAGUCGCCCAUGUGGAUAUAACUGCACCUACUGGCCCUGUUUCCAGCUGUGCUUCUAGAAUUCUCUGGUUUCCUGGAGAAGAUGACUAAGAUGACUUUGAGGAAAAGGUGCCAGGAGAGAAGCCUGACUGCUCCUCUGCUCCCGCCAUGAAGGAAUGCCUCAGGCAGGGGCCUGCUGUGCUCCAGGCUGCAGAGAGAGUGGGUUGAAGAAAGACCUGCCAGAGGGACCAGAGCCCAUGAUUCCUGCAGCCGCCUCGAGAGGAGCCUGGGAUCCGCCUGGCCCUGGGAUACAGGGGUGGGGUGGGGUGCUCUGAGGGCUUUGGAGAACACAGCGCUGUGUGUCCCAUCUCAUCAUGAUGCAAUUCAAAAUAAAACAAUACCAAAUGCUAACACCA